AUGGACUGUGGAUCUCGGAGUGCGCCGUGGUGGUUUACUUUAGUGACGGUUCUCGGUGCUACAGGGCGUUUGUCGGCGUCGCGUGUUGUUUCUGGUGCAUUGUGGACUCGCGGCUGCGAUCGGAGCGGAAGGCUGGAGUCUCAAGUCUGCGCGAUUUGGAGUGUGGUAAGGAUGGAAGAGGAAACUUAUUCUUCCCACUUCUUUUUGACUUCGCAUUGUUUUCUGCUACGGUUAUGA